rnacentral:rRNA from 1 species
ACACAUGCAAGUCGGACGGUAGCAGGUAAGUACUUGUACUUAUGCUGACGAGUGGCGGACGGGUGAGUAAUGCUUGGGAAUCUGUCUUAUGGAGGGGGAUAACGACGGGAAACUGUCGCUAAUACCGCGUAGAAUCGGGAGAUGAAAGUGUGGGACCUUCGGGCCACAUGCCAUAGGAUGAGCCCAAGUGUGAUUAGGUAGUUGGUGGGGUAAAGGCCUACCAAGCCGACGAUCGCUAGCUGGUCUGAGAGGAUGGCCAGCCACACCGGGACUGAGACACGGCCCGGACUCCUACGGGAGGCAGCAGUGGGGAAUAUUGCGCAAUGGGGGCAACCCUGACGCAGCCAUGCCGCGUGAAUGAAGAAGGCCUUCGGGUUGUAAAGUUCUUUCGGUGAUGAGGAAGGUUGGUGUGUUAAUAGCAUGCCAAAUUGACGUUAAAUACAGAAGAAGCACCGGCUAACUCCGUGCCAGCAGCCGCGGUAAUACGGGGGGUGCGAGCGUUAAUCGGAAUAACUGGGCGUAAAGGGCACGUAGGCGGACCUUUAAGUGAGGUGUGAAAUCCCCGGGCUUAACCUGGGAAUUGCAUUUCAUACUGGGGGUCUGGAGUACUUUAGGGAGGGGUAGAAUU